AUUGAACGCUGGCGGCAUGCCUUACACAAGCAAGUCGAACGGCAGCACGGGUGCUUGCACCUGGUGGCGAGUGGCGAACGGGUGAGUAAUAUAUCGGAACGUACCUUAUCGUGGGGGAUAACGCAGCGAAAGCUGUGCUAAUACCGCAUAAGCCCUAAGGGGGAAAGCAGGGGACCGUAAGGCCUUGCGCGAUUAGAGCGGCCGAUACCUGAUUAGCUAGUUGGUGAGGUAAAGGCUCACCAAGGCAACGAUCAGUAGCUGGUCUGAGAGGACGAUCAGCCACACUGGGACUGAGACACGGCCCAGACUCCUACGGGAGGCAGCAGUGGGGAAUUUUGGACAAUGGGGGCAACCCUGAUCCAGCAAUGCCGCGUGAGUGAAGAAGGCCUUCGGGUUGUAAAGCUCUUUUGUCAGGGAAGAAACAGCAGCUCUAAUGCAGUAUGCGAAUGACGGUACCUGAAGAAUAAGCACCGGCUAACUACGUGCCAGCCGCCGCCGUAA
rnacentral:rRNA from 1 species